CUAACUGGACACUGGGUUUACAUUGUGGUAUAGGAUAGGGCCCGUAUUUACAGUAUGCUUCAUUCUAUUCUAUUCUAGCUCACCGCAGAGAUCCUGUUGUUGUAGCCCAUUUGAAAAGGUUGGGACAACGCAUACAGACACGUUUCGAUUAUAGAGGAGACGCAGAUGGUGGAGGAGACCUACGGGCAUUCUGUCACGAGUUUGUAGUAACAAUAGGACGUAUAUUUAUGGCAGCUGGAGUCCGUAGCCUAAAUGCGCUUGCAUAUAAAAUACAGACAUCUGCAUACUGGUUAAUCUCAUGCCAUCCAAACACUCCUUUGUCCAGGCUUCUGUCUUUUUAUUUACUCUCUUUUAACCGCCCAUCAGAGGCAGCUGCUCGCCAUUUACCAGACCUCUGCUCAAGCAACGUGACGCACUCCACAGCACGUCCUCAUUUUAGAGGAGAUCGAUGCAUGGGGGAUCGGACAGCUCGAGCGCUUCAUCGCAGCCUUACUGACUGACACAGAUGCUGCGAGACUGGUGCAUUGUGGACCGGUGGUCAAACUUACAUCAUUGCAAAAGUGGCCAAACCCACAGCCCAGCUGUCGGAAUGCAAGACCCCAUGAUGACUGGGGUUCCCUGGUGUCCCUGACUGACUGGUGAAUACAGGAGUAGGGAGAGACAAAUGGGUAUGUGUCCAGUAUAUCCUCAUACUGUGGAGGGGGUUCUUGUAAAGGCAGAGGUUUAACAGCCGUUAUUGAUGGUAAUUCUGUCUUGUGUGCUCCAUUCCGUGAUAUUUUUCAAUGACUAUUGUUGGUAUUAGGGGAGCUGUCGUAACAAGUUAUUCAUUUAAAUUAGGUUAGUUCAAAGUAAAAAAAAAUCAAAUAAGUUAGAAAAAAAAGGUUAUUCAGGUCCAUUAGAUACUGUUCCUCAACGCCUAUGAUUCUUGGUGAUUUUGCAGACUAAUUUAGUAACCCUGGCCGACUGCAGUUCAUAGUAUCUAUUGGUAGUAGUCAAGGCCAAUGGUCAAGGUCCAGCACGUCCUUGGUAGGGUUUUGGGGACAGGUGUUCCAGGGGGUUGCGUUCCACUUUCUGCUGCUCUCUGCUCUGUGUUUAUCUCCAGAUAUAUCCUGAGGAAGAUGCUGGGAUGGUGCCAGCCCUCAGAGCCUAUUUAGACGAGUCAACGACAUGUCCUGACUGACAAGGCUGUCAACAAAGCUGUUUUUAAACAGUUGUCAACGCGGUUCAUCCUUACCGAACUGGGACUGGAACUGGGACCUAUGGCUUUCACCCACUGAGAAAGGGGCACAACAUUGGCAUUCACCCACUGCUGAUGGGGCACAGCCACACUUCUUUAUCUAUCAAUAUGUGUUAGAAGUGUAUCACCUUGCUGUGAUUAUUUGGAUAUUUUACUUAGCCUACUUAAAAUGGAAGUAUCAUUGGCACAUUGCUGGUUUCCCUUUAACCUUUUACUGCAAUGAGCUAAAUCAGUCACAGUGUUUCUUGGUUGUCUUAAACAAAUCCACUAUGAAACAAGAGUAUACACCUCACAUACAUGGUUAUGGGCUUAAAAAAAGACCUGUACCAUAUCAGAUAUACAUUUGAAAUGUAUUCAAGUUUGAGUUUGCAUCCCAAUAUUACAGUUUAUAUACAUCAAAGAAGACUGAAACAUUACAAAACCAUAGAAACACAGAAUUUUCGGCGGGUUUUUGAAAUAAUGUUUAUUAAUGAUGAAAGAUAUGAAUAACAUUCCACCCAUGAGUCCACUAGAGGGCGAUUUGGUAAUUUGACUGCAGGAAAGGGCUACUUGUAGUCUUUUGUGCCACAUUGUUCAGGACUUUAUUGGAUAGGACCACAUUUCAUGCCAUAAGAGAGACUCAUAAGGGGUGGAGUUGUAGUGUUGUGUGUCUGACGCUUUGGUGCUUUGCAUUUCCUUCCUCGAAAUACUGUUUAACUGAGGGAUGCUUUCUCUCCUCUCCUUUGUAAAUAACUCUAACACGUUCUGAUCCCCUUCCACACUGUUCAGCUGAUCAAAGCACUGACACUGCAGUUGACUAACACCUCUCUCUGAUGCCUGCUUCUCCUCAUGCUGUCAGCACUGUCCUUUGUCUUCUCUGUAACCUUGGCAACACUUUAACACCUUACUCACCUCCUCCAAUCUCUGACGUCUAACAUGACUAACAAGAUUGAGUCUGCUGAGAUGGUCUUGCUGUUCAUUUCAAUGAUGUGCUCCUAACCAAGCUAGCAGGGAGCACACCCAUGACAAGCCUGUGCGGAUGGUUUGGUAACAUUAGUCUACCCUAACGUUACAGGAGUGUUGAGGAUGUUAGAGUUGUGUCAGUGUGUGUAGCUGUGUUUGUGUUGGGGGUGUAGUUCUUAGACGGUUUCCCGAGGCCUGGUUUGUCUUGUGAUUGCUGCAUGUACUCUGAGUAACCUUAGCUGGAGUCGUAAAGAACUAACCAACACUGGGGUAAUCCUGGUUUACUAACCUGGACUAACAGUCUAACAUUCACUAAUCAACCAAACUGAAACCCAAGUACUGGAGAAGUGCCUUGUCUGACUCUCCCUGGUUAAAACCAUCCUUAACCUAAUGGUCUGUUAAAACCACUGUGUGUGUGUGUGUGUGUGUGUGUGUGUGUGUGUGUGUGUGUGUGUGUGUGUGUGUGUGUGUGUGUGUGUGUGUGUGUGUGUGUGUGUGUGUGUGUGUGUGUGUGUGUGUGUGUACAUUGUGUGUUUAAGAGUGGGGCUGUUACUGUCAUUAAUAUUCUUACACUCUGAAAUCAAACCCCCAACUGUCAACAGCUCUCUUGGCAUUCCUUAAUAAAUACACUAACAAUAACCCUCUAAUACCUAACAGUACUAACGUCUGCUAACAGACCUAUUGUUACUAAUACUCAACUGUACUAUGGAUGAUGUUGGCUGGACUUGUAAUUUCUAACACACUCACUAACCCUUUGCUUUGUGCCCUGAGUCUGAGACAGAGUCCUCUCCCAUUUUCCUGAAACCCUUCUCCCGCCAGACACAGAUCACCCAAAAUCAUAUACAAGAACUAUGUAUUUAUCAAUCUGUUAUAACCUUAAGUGUGAUAUGUUGCUUGAGACAUGUUACUUUUGGCCCCCUAAAGCACAAUGGUGAGUGAUUCCAGGAUCUGGGAUGGAAAGCUGGAUCAACCAAUAGAUUUAAAGAAAAAGCGCACCUAGGUUGACCACACACUUCUGCUCAGGGUGACGAUUGAUUUAAAAAAUAUAUAUAUUACAAAUCAUACAGUAACUAUGCUAAAGAAUUGUAUUUCAUUAAAGCUAAAGAAUUGCAUUUCAUUAAAGCUGAAGUAUUCUAUCUUAACAAAUAAUGGCUGACAAAUGUUUGUCCCUCUGUCCAUUGUGUGACCAACCUCCAAAAGGCGUUGCAGCUCAGUGCUUGGUUUGCAGUCUGCAUAGACACUGAUGUGUAUUAUCUUAUAAAAGAUAAACCAAAGGAAAUAGCAACCCUUUCCUGCUUUACUACUAACUGAGUGGUGACUGGUAUACUAACCACCCCAUAUGAGGCCUAACAAUUUGGCCAUUGAUUCAUUGCUCUUACUAACAUACUGUAUCUUCCCACAUAAAACAAUGCUACAUUUUACUAUAGAAUACUAUAGUACACUCUGUAGUAUCCCUGGAUCAUGUGUAGAACUUACCAAAUAAUUUUGUGUUAUACUAUAGCGGUAUACAGUAACCGAAAAGACACUGGUCCGAAUCCCUGAGCCGACAAGGUGAAACAUCUGUCGAUGUGCCCUUGAGCAAGGCACUUAACCCUAAUUGCUCCUGUAAGUCGCUCUGGAUAAGAGAUUCUGCUAAAUGUCUAAAAUGUAGAAUGGUAUAUAGUAUACUGCACACUGUAGUAUCCCUUGAUCGUGUAGUGCUUACUAUAUACUUUUGUAGUAUACUGUGGAAUACUAUACUACACACUGUAGUAUCUCUUGACUGUAUAGUGCUUACUAUUGGAUUGUGUAGUAUACUGGUGAAUACUACACUCCACAUUGUAAUAUCCCUCUAUCGUGUACUGCUAACUAUAUAUUUUUUAAAUAUACUGUAGAAUACUAUACUACACACCGUAGUAUCCCUCGAUCGUGUGUAGUGCUUACUAUAUGUUUUUUAUUGUAUACUGUAUAAUACUAGAUUAAAUAAUACAGCAUUAUCUGCAAAAAACACUAGUAAAUACUACAGUAAUGUCCACAAAAACAGUAAAAAAAAAAAAAAAAUAUAUAUAGUUAUACUAGAUUAUUUUAAUUUGCAUAUGCUUCACAUUCCCAUCCCCCAUACAGUGGUGUAAAGUACUUAAGUAAACAGUUUUGAAAGCACUACUUAAGUAGUUUUUUGGGGUAUCUGUACUUUACUAUUUAUAUUUUUGACAACUUUUACUUUUACUCCACUACAUUCCUAAAGAAAAUAAUGUACUUUUUACUCCUUACAUUUUCCCUGACACCCAAAGUACUCGUUACAUUUUGAAUGCUCAGCAGGACAGGAGAAUUGUCUAUUUCACAAACUUAUCAAGAGAACAUCCCUGGUCAUCCCUACUGCCUCUGAUCUGGCGGACUCACUAAACACAUGCUUUGUUUGUAAAUUACAUCUGAGGGUUGUAGUGUGCCCCUGGCGAUCUGUAAAAAAAAAGAAAAAAAAAAAGAAAUUGUGCCGUCUGGAAUUUUACAAUAUUUUUAUUUUACUUUUAAAACUAAAGUACAUUUAAAACCAAAAACUUUUUGACUUUUACUCAAGUAGUAUUUUACUGGGUGACUUUCAUUUUUACUUGUCAUUUCUUUUAAGGUUCUUUAGUUUUACUCAAGUAUGAACAUUUUGUGCUUUUUUCAUCAUUGCCCCCAUAUCUCAAUUUGUGCUAACUAUGAGUGAGAUACCUACAUGCCAUGUAUAGACUAUAUAUUGUCUUCCCUACAGAUUGUAAAAAAGAACAGAUGCUCUGAACUAUCUGAUCAGACUCCAGUUCUACCUACCUACCUACAGGUUAUGGAACAUUUGCUAUUUUUGCCCAGCAGGUUUCCUCAAGGAGAAAUCCUCCAUUUCUAUGAGCCUCUCCCAAAUCCAAACAUGAGUUUGCAGUGAUGGGUCAAGAUUAUAAGUACCAAUUGGAUGUCACAAAAUUGGGGCGAAAAAGGGGUAAAAAGUACAAAAAAAAUACCACAAAAAACAUAGUAAAUACUAGAACAAUAUCUGUAAAAACUACAGUAAUUACUAUAGUAUAUGCUAUAGUUUUUACUGUAGGAAUAUUUUCAGUAUUUAUACUGUAGUAAGCUUUACAGUAUACUAGAGUUAUGUCCACAAAAACACUACAGUAAAGUCCGCAAAAACACUACAGUGAAAACCUAUAGUAUAUUUCUGCAAAAACUACAGUGAAUACUAUACUAUAUUAGUCAUGUCCGCAAAAACACUGCAGUGAAUACUACAAUAUACUUCUGCAAAAACACUACAGUGAAAACUAUAAUAUGCUUCCGUAAAAACACUACACUGAAUACGAUAGUAUAUAAAUAUAGGAAUACUACAGUAUUUAGAGCAUAGUAUACUAUAGUAUUUUUUAAAUAUGUCUUCUUCUUUUAAUCAUGUCACCCACUCCACCCUGCCCCUUGGUGAGAUCAAACAGCAUCUUGUAGGCCAUGCAGUAUAUUGUCUUUACUUCCUGAGUCAUCCUGAGGAUACAUCCUUUAGUCCUUGAUUGUAUGACAUUUUACUAACCUCCUGAAAUGGAGUGAGAACACUAACUAUUGGGCGAUCCCACGCCAGUGGGAGCAGAAAAUAUUUUUGUUAUCUCAGAUUGUUCUUGCAAUUCUCACAUAUAAACUUCAUUGGGAGGAAGGAUGUUUGAAAUGCUUUUAUUUGUAUCACAAACUGUUUGAGAGAAUCAUGACGAAAGUAGCCAUUUUAAGCCUUUUUUUUUUAGACCUAUACAUGCCUCCUGUAAGACGUAUGAUCUGUGAACCGAACAUCAUACAGAUAUCUUAGUCAUAUAAAAUCAAAUGUUUUUAUUUGUCACAUGUGGCGAAUACAACAGGUGUAGACUUUACCUUGAAAUGCUUACUUACGAGUCCUUUCCCAACGAUGCAGAGGUAAAAAGUAAGAAACAUUUGCAAAAAAGGAAAUAGUCACACAAAAUAACAAUACUAUAUACAAGGAGUACCGGUACCGAGUCAAUUUGCAAGGAUUACGAGGUAAUUGGGGCAAUAUGUACAUGUACAGUUGAAGUUGGAAGUUUACAUACACCUUAGCCAAAUACAUUUAAACUCAGUUUUUCACAAUUGCUGACAUUUAAUCAGAGUAAAAAUUCUCUGUCUUAGCCUCUAACACCUCCCAAACCCGGAUCCGGGAGCACCCCCAUCAGUAGAAAAGCUACUAGCAUAGCCUAGCAUAGCGUCACAAGUAAAUACUAGCAUCUAAAUAUCAUUAAAUCACAAGUCCAAGACACCAGAUGAAAGAUACACAUCUUGUGAAUCCAGCCAUCAUUUCUGAUUUUUUAAAUGUUUUACAGGGAAGACACAAUAUGUAAAUCUAUUAGCUAACCACGUUAGCAAAAGACACCACUUUUUUUACUCCACCAGUUUUUUACUCCAUCAGUAGCUAUCACAAAUUCGACCAAAUAAAGAUAUAAAUAGCCACUAACCAAGAAACAACUUCAUCAGAUGACAGUCUGAUAACAUAUUUAUUGUAUAGCAUAUGUUUUGUUAGAAAAAUUUGCAUAUUUCAGGUAUAAAUCAUAGUUUACCAUUGCAGCCACCAUCACAAAUCUCACCAAAGCGACUAGAAUAACUACAGAGAGCAACGUGUAUUACCUAAUUACUCAUCAUAAAACAUUUCUUAAAAAUACACAGCGUACAGCAAUUGAAAGACACAGAUCGUGUGAAUCCAGACAAUAUUUCAGAUUUUCUAAGUGUUUUACAGCGAAAACACAAUAUAGCGUUAUAUUAGCUUACCACAUGUGCAAACAUCACCCCAGCAUUGAUUCAAGGCAAAAAGAGCGAUAACGUAUAAACCAACAAAAUAUAUAAAUUUUUUCACUAACCUUCUCAGAAUUCUUCAGAUGACAGUCCUGUAACAUCAUAUUACACAAUGCAUAUAGAGUUUGUUCGAAAAUGUGCAUAUUUAGCGGCACAAAUCGUGCUUAUACAAUGACAAUAGUGUCCAAAUACUCAAGCAAUCUGUCCGGCGCCAUCUUGGAAAGGCACCUAUUCUUAUCGAAAACUAUUCAUAAACUUGACUAAAAAAAUACAGGUUGGACAGCAAUUGAAAGACAAAAUAGUUCUUAAUGCAAUCGCUGAAUUACAUUUUUAAAAUUAACGUUACUGCGCAAUAGUUUUUUAAUGGCGAUAAAGCAAGGCUACACUGCAAGUAAUGGCGUCUUAUGCAUUUGACUUUUUUCAACAGAACAAUGAAUUAUCAGCAUAAAUAAUUCUUACUUUUUUAUGACCUCCCAUCAGAAUCUUGGGAUAGGUGUCCUUUGUCCAAAAGAAUCGUUGCUGGGUUGGAGAAAGUCAUCUUCCACGUUGCAAUUAGCAGUAAACAAUGGCAUGCGAGAGAGAGAUACCCAACUUCCUACAACGCCAGAAAAUGAAAUACCCGAAAAUCGCAAUAUACUGACAUAAACUGAUAUAAAUCGGUUUAAAAUAACAAGAUUAUGAUGUCUUUAAAGCCUAUAUCGAAUAAAAACAGAGCCGGAUAUAUCUAGGAGCUAAAACGGGAGCUUCUAAAACGACAUGCCAAGGUCCUCACUGCGUCAGCGCGAAGAAUCAAAAGGGGGGACCCUUUGAUUCCAAUCAAUUUAUAGACUUUCGGAUCUGCCUAGAGACUCCAUUUCAAGGCCCUCUAUUCGCUGACACCCAGGGGAAGGCGUAUGCAGUGCAUCUCAACCAAUAGAAUAGAACACAGGCAGAGUUAUACACAGGUCUGAGAACAGGUUGGAAAAAUCUGCAUUCUCAACUCCACUUAGGGAAAUUGCUCUAAGUCCAGUUCUGUUUCACGCACAGACAUAAUUCAAACGGUUUUAGAAACUAGAGAGUGUUUUCUAUCCAAUAGGAAUAAUAAUAUGCAUAUUGUACGAGCAAGAAUUGAGUACGAGGCAGUUUAAUUUGGGAACAUCAAGAAAAAAUAGUGCUAACAGCUCCCCCUAUUGACAAGAAGUUUUAAGUCAGUUAGGAUCAACACUUUAUUUUAAGAAUGUGAAAUGUCAGAGUAAUAGUAGAGACAAUGAUUUAUUUAAGCUUUUAUUUCUUUCAUCACAUUCCCAGUGGGUCAGAAGUUUACAUGCACUCAAUUAGUAUUUGGUAGCAUUGCCUUUAAAUUGUUUAACUUGGGUCAAACGUUUUGGGUAGCCUUUCACAAGCUUCCCACAAUAAGUUGGGUGAAUUGUGGCCCAUUCCUCCUUACAGAGCUGGUGCAACUGAGUCAGGUUUGUAGGCCUACUUGCUCGCACACGCUUUUUCAGUUCUGUCCACAAAUUUUCUAUAGGAAUGGGGUCAGGGCUUUGUGAUGGCCACUCCAAUACCUUGACUUUGUUGUCCUUAAGCCAUUUUGCCACAACUUUGGAUGUAUGCUUGGGGUCAUUGCCCAUUUGGAAGACCCAUUUGCCACCAAGCUUUAACUUCCUGACGGAUGUCUUGAGAUGUUUCUUCAAUAUAUCCACAUAAUUUUCCUCCUCAUGAAGCCAUCUUUUUUGUGAAGUGCACCAGUCCCUCCGGCAGCAAAGCACCCCACAACAUGAUGCUGUUAACCCCGUGCUUCAUGGUUGGGAUGGUGUUCUUCGGCUUGCAAGUCUCCCCCUUUUUCCUCCAAACAUAACGAUGGUCAUUAUGGCCGAACAGUUCCAUUUUUGUUUCAUCAGACCGGAGAACAUUUCUCCAAAAAGUACGAUCUUUGUCCCCAUGUGCAGUUGCAAACCGUAAUCUGUUUUUUAAUGGCGGUUUUGGAGCAGUGGCUUCUUCCUUGUUGAGCGGCCUUUCAGGUUAUGUUGAUAUAGGACUCGUUUUACUGUGGAUAUAGAUACUUUUGUACCUGUUUCCUCCAGCAUCUUCACAAGGUCCUUUGCUGUUUUUCUGGGAUUGAUUUGCACUUUUUGCACCAAAUUACAUUAAUCUCUAGGAGACAGAACGUAUCUCCUUACUGAGCGGUAUUACGGCUGCGUGAUCCCAUGGUGUUUAUACUUGCGUACUAUUGUUUGUACAGAUGAACGUGGUACCUUCAGACAUUUGGAAAUUGCUCCCAAGGAUGAACCAGACUUGUGGAGGUGUACAAUUUUUUUUGCAAGGUGUAGUGGAGGUGUACAACAAGGUCUUGGCUGAUUUCUUUUGAUUUUCCCAUGAUGUCAAGCAAAGAGGCACUGAGUUUUGAAGGCCAUGAAAUACAUCCACAGGUACACCUCCAAUUGACUCAAAUUAUGUCAAUUAGCCUAUCAGAAGCUUCUAAAUCCAUGACAUAAUUUUCUGGAAUUUUCGAAGCUGUUUAAAGGCACAGUCAACUUAGUUUAUGUAAACUUCUGACCCACUGGAAUUGUGAAACAGUGAAUUAUAAGUGAAAUAAUCUGUAAACAAUUGUUGGAAAAAUGACUUGUGUCAUGUACAAAGUAGAUGUCCUAACUGACUUGCCAAAACUAUAGUUUGUUAACAAGAAAUUUGUGGAGUGGUUGAAAAACAAGUUUUAAUGACUCCAACCUAAUUUUACUUCCGACUUCAACUGUAGGUAGGGGUUAAACGUGACUAGACAAUCAGGAUGGAUAAUAAACAGAGUAGCAGCAGCGUAUGUGAAAGUGUGAGUGUGUGACGUCAAUAUGCGUGAGUGAGUGAGUGAGUGAGUGAGUGAGUGAGUGAGUGUAUGUAGUCAGUGCGGGUGGAGUCCAGUGAGUCUGCGUAGUGCCGGUGCAAGAGAGUCAGUAUAAUUAAAAAGGGGCUCAAUGCAAAUAGGUUAGACAUAUUAUUAACUGUUCAGCAGUCUUGUGGCUUAGGGGUAGAAGCUGUUCAGGAGACGUUUGGUCCCAGACUUGGCGCUCCGGUACCACUUGCUGUGCGUUAGCGGAGAGAACAGUCUAUGACUUGGGUAGCAGGAGUCUGGCUUAUUUUUAGACAUUGUAACAAUAUACUCUUCAAACCAUGUCGAAUUUCCAGAGUGGGCUCUAUCAUACUUUUAAUGAUAUGACCCAUUUUUAUACAUAGAUAUUGACAUAGUUCACUAACCAAUUCCAGUCCUCCUUUAUGUCACCGGCAGAGUUCCCUUUGAAAUAUUUUGCCCAUUCACUGUGUUGGCGAUGCUCAUAAAAUUGAUCAUACCUUCAGAAUUAGCAGAGAGCUCACUCUGGAAAUUUGAUUUACUUGUAGAGCAGGGUUCCCCAACUGGUGGCCCAUGGGCCGAAUUAGGCCUGCUGGUGGUUUUAUUUGGCCCCCCAAUUUCUUUUUUUGUUCAUUGGAAUUUUCAUUGUUGGACAUAAAAUACUGCAAAAACACCAGGAAAUCAGCUCCAAGUGAGUUUUUUAAUUUAGGAAAUAUAUUCCCACACAUAAGAGAGACAGGUAAUCGUAUACAAAUAUAAGCAAGGUUUGAAAUUAUUGUUUUAGUCAAAUAUUAUAUCCGUUUAGAUUUCUUACGGUCAAUUUGCAGUCUACAAAUGAUUUGUAAUUAUGUUCCGACCAUCCGCUCAAGUAAAAUCAGCUCAUAGCUGAAUCUAGUUGAUGAUUCUUGUUGUAAAGUAUAUUGUUCCAAACAAUAUGUCUUAAAAUGAAACAAAUUCUAAAAAGGUAGUUUUGAGAUAUUCAUAUUAAUAGUUGUGAAAGGUUUUAUUUCAGAACCAAGACAUAUUUUACAGUACACUAUAAGAAGAAUAAUAACACCAAGAUGUCUGUGUCAUGUACUGUUCAAGGGGUCUUACAGGAGGCAUGUAUAGGUCUAAAAAAGGUCUAAAAUAGCUACUUUCAUCAUGAUUUUCAACCGCAACAAAAAAUUCUGAUACAAAUGUAAAAAGCAUGUCAAACAUCCAUCUCCCAAUGAAGUUUCUGUGAGAAUUGACAGAACAAUCUGAGGUAGAAAAAAUAUAUUCCGCUGGCAUGGAAUCGCUCUAUUGGGACAUGAUAGCUCCCCACAAUCUAUAAAACAAACUAACCUACUAAUUAUCUAACAAACUAACUAACCUACUAAAUAUCUAACUAACCUACUAAAUAUCUAACUAACAACUAACCUACUAAAUAUCUAACUAACAACUAACCUACUAAUUAUCUAACAAACUAACUAACCUACUAAUUAUCUAACAAACUAACUAACCUACUAAAUAUCUAUCUAACUAACUAACCUACUAAAUAUCUAACUAACAACUAACCUACUAAUUAUCUAACAAACUAACUAACCUACUAAUUAUCUAACAAACUAACUAACCUACUCAUUAUCUAACAAACUAACCUACUAAUUAACUCUAACAAACUAACCUACUAAUUAACUAAUUAUCUAACAAAAAACGAACCUACUAAUUAUCUAACAAACAAACUGAAAUCAUGUGCUCAGAGUUAUAAGGUUUUGAGGUUUUGGUUCAGCAAACCAUCACCUCACUUUGGUGUGUGUGUCCGCGUGCAUGUGUGGGCAUGCAUAUGUGCGUGUGCCUGCAUGUGUGUCCAUUUAUUCUCAAACUGUGCAUGACGAGGUGAUUGUCUGAGUGUUAAUGAGUAUGUUUAUGUAUCAGUUUUCUGCUGAGUAACAUUAUGGCAUAGCAAUGUUGUCCUCAUCCCCUAUUUACAAGUGAUUUAGCCUAAAAAUGAGACCACAUUUUAUGAUAAUGAAACAACUGUCAAAGCUUGACUAUCAAAUUGAUCAAGCUACUGUAUGAAGCAGUUUUUCAGAGUAGCUCAGUCAUAGGAGUUAAGGAUGACCAACCUAACUAAUCAGUGACCACCACAGUGUAGAAGAGGUCUUACUUCCUUGACUUCUCUGUCCUUUAUGUACUGGAAUUACUGAAUACUGGAUUGAUGAAACACAUUUCCCAUGUCCUUUUCACUGUGGAAUAAACUGUCACACAUUUUGAAAA